rnacentral:lncRNA from 1 species
AUGUCUAUAACAAUACUAUUUCCAAAUAAGGUCACAAAUGCCAAAGAAUGCUCAAACUACCACACAAUUGCACUCAUCUCACAUGCUAGUAAAGUCAUGUUCAAAGUUCUCCAAGCCAGGCUUCAGCAAUACGUGAACGGUGAACUUCCUGAUGUUCAAGCUGGUUUUCGAAAAGGCAGAGAAACUGAAGAUCAAAUUGCCAACAUCUGCUGGAUCAUGGAAAAAGCAAGAGAGUUCCAGAAAAACAUCUAUUUCUGCUUUAUUGACUAUGCCAAAGCCUUUGACUGUGUGGAACACAAUAAACUGUGGAAAAUUCUGAAAGAGAUGAGAAUACCAGACCACCUGACCUGUCUUUUGAGAAAUCUGUAUGCAGGUCAGGAAGCAAGGGUUAGAACUGGACAUGGAACAACAGACUGGUUCCAAAUCGGAAAAGGAUUACGUCAAGGCUGUAUAUUGUCACCCUGCUUAUUUAACUUAUAUGCAGAGUACAUCAUGAGAAACACUGUACUGGAAGAAACAAAAGCUGGAAUCAAGAUCGCCGGGAGAAAUAUCAAUAACCUCAGAUAUGCAUAUGAUACUACCCUUAUGGCAGAAAGUGAAGAGGAACUUAAAAACCUCUUGAUGAAAGUGAAAGAGGAGAGUGAAAAAGUUGGCUUAAAGCUCAACAUUCAGAAAACGAAGAUCAUGGCAUCUGGUCCCAUCACUUCAUGGGAAAUAGACAGGGAAACAGUGGAAACCGUGUCAGACUUUAUUUUGGAGGGCUCCAAAAUCACUGUAGAUGGUGACUGCAGCCAUGAAAUUAAAAGACACUUACUCUUUGGAAGAAAAGUUAUGACCAACCUAGAUAGCAUAUUCAAAAGCAGAGACAUUACUUUGCUGACUAAGGUCAGUCUCGUCAAGGCUAUGAUUUUUCCAGUGGUCAUGUAUGGAUGUGAGAGUUGGACUGUAAAGAAGGCUGAGCACCGAAGAAUUGAUGCUUUUGAACUGUGGUGCUGGAGAAGACUCUUGAGAGUCCCUUGGACUGCAAGGAGAUUCAACCAGCCCAUUCUGAAGGAGACCAGCCCUGGGAUUUCUUUGGAAGGAAUGAUGGUAGAGCUGAAACUCCAGUACUUUGGCCACCUCAUGCGAAGAGUUGACUCAUUGGAAAAGACUUUGAAGCUGGGAGGGAUUUGGGGAAGGAGGAGAAGGGGAUGA